AUGCCCCCUCCAGGUGCCAGCCUUCGUGAGGUACAUCCACCAGUGGCUCACGUCCAGUGUGUCUCCUGAGCACAGACUAGACAAGACUCUUCUGGAUCUGGCCGAGGCACACCCCGUGGAUGUGGUGGUGACUGUGCUGCGCUCUGCCCCAUCAUGUGACAGAGCUGCAGCGACCUUGUGGAGGACGAUCAUCUUUUCAAGUCGGACUGCACAGUCGGUGCUCGAGAUACUUGCCCUUGUCCUGGGAAGCUGGCCAGCCUGCAGCAUGUGCACCUCUGAUGGGGUUUCUGAGUUUCUGGAACUGGACUUUGCUCACUCCCACAUCGCCUCCAGGGCAGCUGUUCAUCCUCCCCCUGCACUGCAUCUCCCUGCCUCAGGCACUGGGCUGGAAACCUGGGUUAGGGGCAGGUUCAGGGGCACCAGGCCAGGUGCUCCUCCUGUGUCUCCCCUGGCCUCUCCCUCCCGUGCUCGGGCCUUGCCACGUGGAUGUCUCAGCACUGAGCACUGUCUCCAGCUGUUUUACUUUUUUGCAGGCAAACGUGGCGCUGUGGACGAUCCUCCAGCUGCCCUGGUGCCCACGUACAGUGAGGGAGUGUUUCCCCAACCUCUUUGUGCAUCUGCUCUUUCAGAUGUUCUUCAACACAGUGCAUAGGCUGGAGGAGGAUGACACCUUCUGGAGGGAAUGCCAGGACCAACACAGCCUUCCCACCAACCCCAACAGGUUUGCAGUGCUGACCAUCAAAGCCCUGCUGUGCCAUCUGCAGUGUGAGGGUGUGGUGAUGGCACUGGAAUGCAAGUGUGGCUGGGACACGCUGCUCAACGCUGACACCCAACACUAUGCAGUGGGUCUGCUGGCCAGGUGAGACCCCCUUGUCCCCACUGCCCCUGUCAUUUCUGCCUGUGCAUGGGGCACCACACACAGUGCCUGUGGUCGUGGGCGAGAGGGCCUUGUCACCGAGGGAUGGCUGAGAGUGAAAAAGGCUGGGAGAGGGAGAUGGGUUCUGCCUGCACAGUCUGGUGUUGCAGCAUCGUCUGCUGCCUCCUGGAGCUGCUCAGCGAGGAGAUGUGUCCCUGGGAGCUCCCUGCCAUGGUGUUCCUUGUGGAGGCCAAAAGAAUGUGCAGCCUGACUGAAAGCCUCGUGCAGCUCCUGUGGGAUGCAGAUGGAGAGCUGGUCAGGAUGACUGCCACUGUCCUUGAAUUUCUGUCCUUGGAGAAAGACAUCUGACACCAGCCCUACAGCUGGCUGAGGUGCUCCAGCCAUUCUUUGACAACCCCUUGGAGGUAUGAAGAAUGACAUCAGCCCCGCUAUCUCAAACCUGGCGUUUCAAACCUGCUCUGCGGAGCAGUUUCUGUGCUGCCAGAGCUCUGUGGAGAGUUGAUUUGGGAAGCUGUGUGUGCUGGGGCCAUGUGAGCCUGCGAGGAAGACCCCUUCUCUGCAAGCACUUUCCUUUACCCCAGCAUGGGAAUAUAAAAUUCCUUUUGUCACAGACAGAGGCCCAGGAGGGUUUUUUGGUGCCCAGUUUCCACAGGGGAUUGGGGAAGAGGGGGAAAAGGGUCCUUGUGCUCAGCAACACUUGGCCAGGUGUGCAGCGAGAAGAAAAAGUGCCCUAAGUCCUCUUGGCCUUUGGUGGUUCUGCUGAAGCCUCAAAGUUUCCAUGGAGCAGUUUGCUGGAUGUGUUUUCCUAUGUGAGAAGUAGAUGGAUCUUUUGGACUCUGCAAGACUGAAAGUGCAUCACGCUACCUACAGCAGAGGUUGAAAGUGCCGUGUACCAUGGUGGUGUGUGCAGUUCUCAGGCUGCAAGGAAAAGUAACUCCCACUUGACUGUGAUGCAAAUACAAGUUUUCAAAUGGAAGGGAAGGUCGGUGAAAUUCUUCUGUUCUGGCACAUUUUCUUUGGCAGCGGGGGAGGACGUUUUCAACUUUGGAUCUUCACAUUUGGAUAACCCCGGUACAUUUACGUCUUUUUCAAGGACACGCCGACGUUCCCACUGUCGCUGUUCAACAGCUCCACGAGGUGGCGGUGUGUACAUAACAAACAACCCAAAAUGCAGCUCCGAAGGUGAAAACGUCCUGUCACAAUUCUCAAACGAAACGUGUCAGGACAGAAAAGGUACCAGGACAAAAAGCUCUGGAGCUUGGCUUUUCCAUUCCCACUGGAGCAACAGCAGUUCAAACGAUAGCACUGUAUACUAGGAAAAGCAAAUAAAUUCACCAA